AGCGCGCGUAGGCGGUUUCUUAAGUCUGAUGUGAAAGCCCACGGCUCAACCGUGGAGGGUCAUUGGAAACUGGGAAACUUGAGUGCAGAAGAGGAGAGUGGAAUUCCAUGUGUAGCGGUGAAAUGCGCAGAGAUAUGGAGGAACACCAGUGGCGAAGGCGGCUCUCUGGUCUGUAACUGACGCUGAUGUGCGAAAGCGUGGGGAUCAAACAGG
rnacentral:rRNA from 1 species